UGGGGAAUUUUGGACAAUGGGCGCAAGCCUGAUCCAGCCAUGCCGCGUGCGGGAAGAAGGCCUUCGGGUUGUAAACCGCUUUUGUCAGGGAAGAAACGCUCCGGGCUAAUACCCUGGGGUAAUGACGGUACCUGAGGAAUAAGCACCGGCUAACUACGUGCCAGCAGCCGCGGUAAUACGUAGGGUGCAAGCGUUAAUCGGAAUUACUGGGCGUAAAGCGUGCGCAGGCGGUCUUGCAAGACAGAUGUGAAAUCCCCGGGCUCAACCUGGGAACUGCAUUUGUGACUGCAAGGCUGGAGUACGGCAGAGGGGGAUGGAAUUCCGCGUGUAGCAGUGAAAUGCGUAGAUAUGCGGAGGAACACCGAUGGCGAAGGCAAUCCCCUGGGCCUGUACUGACGCUCAUGCACGAAAGCGUGGGGAGCAAACAGGAUUAGAUACCCUGGUAGUCCACGCCCUAAACGAUGUCAACUGGUUGUUGGGAAGGUUCCUUCUCAGUAACGUAGCUAACGCGUGAAGGGGACCGCCUGGGGAGUACGGCCGCAAGGUG
rnacentral:rRNA from 1 species